rnacentral:lncRNA from 1 species
UUGUUGUCUUGCUGUGGAAAUGUUUUUCUACAGCCUACAGUGAACAAGGGAAUGAAUAGUGUAGCACAUGCCCUUCUCCUUGGGCAACUAUACUAAUAAUGGGGUCUUCCUGUGACCUUCCCACAAGACGUAUUUGAACACCUGAAGUGAUAUAGAGUCAACUACAUGGAAGGAAGAAGGAAUUUAACAUAAGAGCUCUUAUUCCAGACAGGUUUGAAUUAGUCCUUCUUCUCAUGUUUCUUUAAUUCUUGUUUUGCUUUGUUUUGUUUUGUUUUCAAGAAAAUGUAAUUAUUGUCUGGGAAAUCUGACUUCAACUAGCCACCUGCCAAGUACUGACUCACAUCUGUGUACAAGAUGUUCCCAGUGCUUCUGUAUGUAUUUGUAUCUAUUUGCAGAACAUAUCAGAUCAGCUGCUUUCUGCAUGCAUGGAAAGAAAGGAGAAAGAACCUCCAGCAUAACCCAAAGGACAGGUCCUGGGGUUUCUUUCUCUCCAACUCACUCUGCACGUUUCUACUCUCCAUGUGUUUUGAAAGACUUGAUCAGUGUCGCUCAGAAGCAUUGCCAUGGACGCCCAGCACUCUGCCAAAUAAUAAAAUUCUUCUAGAAGAGAGAACAACUUCAGAAGAAUGAACUGCACCAUGAGAAAGUACAGCACAAACUCCUUUAUAAGCUAAGUGAAAAGCUUCCUGAACAUGGCCUACUUGACCUCAGUGAAGUACUCCAGAAUGUCAGUAAUCAUCUCAUUACCUGCUGGGACUGUUUGCACUUACCAUGCAAGACCUUCAGUACCACUGAUCAGCAAUCCCAUUCUUAUCACAUCGGCUUCCCAGCUUUCAGCAGCAGCUUCAGUGGUGACAGGGCUGGAGCUGCUGCUGCGUGCCUUGGAGAUAAAAAAAGAACACCAUAUCUGACUCACUAAGUUAACAUCUAUCAGCUCUGCCAACACCGUGUUCAGUGUCUGGGAAGCUGAUACAAUAAAUUUCUGCCCAUAUUGGUAAUGGCAAUGAUUCACUGAAGCAGUUUGAAAGAUCACGUAACAGGAUUAGGAUUUCUCUACCUGGCAAAAGAAAUAAGGAUUUAACUACCAUAAAUUAUCCCAGAAAUCUUUCUUUUCCCUUGGCUUUCUUUUCCAUAUUUAGUUG